rnacentral:tRNA from 1 species
GGUGGUAGCUCAAUCGGGUAAGCGCCCGCUUCUUACGCCAGAGAUGCGGGUUCGAAUCCCGGACAUGUACCA